rnacentral:sRNA from 1 species
UUUGCGUGGUCCUUUGAAUUCUGCCAGGUAGCCCUGCUCCGGCGUCCAUGAAGGGGCCAGGACAGUGUCCGCCAGGAGGGGCUGUGCUCCCAGACAGGAAGCAGGAGAGGUUGCAGCCCUGUUCUGACCCUGCCAUUCCGCCCUCUCCUCACCCCUGCCCCACAGGGACUGCAUCGCCCUCUGCUUCCUCAACAGCGGCACCAGCUUUGUGGCCGGCUUUGCCAUCUUCUCCAUCCUGGGCUUCAUGUCUCAGGAGCAGGGGGUGCCCAUUUCUGAGGUGGCCGAGUCAGGCCCUGGCCUGGCUUUCAUCGCUUACCCGCGGGCUGUGGUGAUGCUGCCCUUCUCUCCUCUCUGGGCCUGCUGUUUCUUCUUCAUGGUCGUUCUCCUGGGACUGGAUAGCCAGAAAGCCUGGUGACAGCGCUGGUGGACAUGUACCCUCACGUGUUCCGCAAGAAGAACCGGAGGGAAGCCCUCAUCCUUGGAGUAUCUGUCGU